GAUGAACGCUAGCGGCAGGCCUAACACAUGCAAGUCGAGGGGCAGCACAGAAACAGCAAUGUUUUGGUGGCGACCGGCGGACGGGUGCGUAACGCGUAUGCAACCUACCUUUAACAGGGGGAUAACGGAGAGAAAUUUCCACUAAUACCCCAUAACAUCGAUCAAGGCAUCUUGAUUGGUUGAAAACUCCGGUGGUUAAAGAUGGGCAUGCGUUGUAUUAGGUAGUUGGUGAGGUAAUGGCUCACGAAGCAUAGGAUACAUAUUGGGACUGGAAGGUUAGGCCCCCACACUGGUACUGCGACACGGACCAGACUCAGACGGGAGGCAGCAGUGAGGAAUAUUGGUCAAUGGGGGCAACCCUGAACCAGCCAUGCCGCGUGCAGGAAGACGGCUCUAUGAGUUGUAAACUGCUUUUAAACAGGGAUAAAGCACAGUAUGUAUACUGUGUUGAAGGUACUGUAAGAAUAAGGAUCGGCUAACUCCGUGCCAGCCGCCGCGGUAA
rnacentral:rRNA from 1 species